AUUGAACGCUGGCGGCAGGCCUAACACAUGCAAGUCGAGCGGAUGAAGGGAGCUUGCUCCUGGAUUCAGCGGCGGACGGGUGAGUAAUGCCUAGGAAUCUGCCUGGUAGUGGGGGAUAACGUCCGGAAACGGGCGCUAAUACCGCAUACGUCCUGAGGGAGAAAGUGGGGGAUCUUCGGACCUCACGCUAUCAGAUGAGCCUAGGUCGGAUUAGCUAGUUGGUGGGGUAAAGGCCUACCAAGGCGACGAUCCGUAACUGGUCUGAGAGGAUGAUCAGUCACACGGGAACUGAGACACGGUCCGGACUCCUACGGGAGGCAGCAGUGGGGAAUAUUGGACAAUGGGCGAAAGCCUGAUCCAGCCAUGCCGCGUGUGUGAAGAAGGUCUUCGGAUUGUAAAGCACUUUAAGUUGGGAGGAAGGGCAGUAAGUUAAUACCUUGCUGUUUUGACGUUACCAACAGAAUAAGCACCGGCUAACUUCGUG
rnacentral:rRNA from 1 species